UACGUCCACAUCACGUAGAAACACCUGUUCCCGUACGAUCACCAAAGUUAAGCAACGUCGAGCCUUGUCAGUACUUAGAUGGGUGACUGCUUGUGAAUACCAUGUGCU